GGAAAGUGCGGCUCUGCAGACGGCCUCAGAGUGGAAUGUGUCACAUGACCAGAGUUUAAUGAAAGCUUGACUGUGGCAUUAUGGGUCAGAACCAACAUGGAAGCAGAGGAAGACACAUGGCCCUAAAAUGACUUCAUUCUGCAUGUGGUCCAAGAGGCGCACACGCCUAACCUGCAGCAAGGAUGUAUUUAACUCACAAUGAACCAACUUUGACUAAAAUUUGGCCAAACUUCAUAUCCCAUCGUUUCACAAGGAAUCAAAGGAAACUUUGCAACAGACUUCUAAAAUGAGCUUCCUUUAAUGCCUGUGGUGCAGCUGCUUGUAGGAUUUACAAACUCACUGAGGGCUAUCAACCUUAACUCUGCUAAAUGUGUAUUCAUCUCUGUCACCUUUUGGAAAUAUUAAUAUUUCAAUGGCUGCUGGAAUAAAACUCAUUCUCUUUUCCAAAUGAUGGGAAACCCAGAACUUGUCCCAUCUAAUCACCGUUUGGUCAAAAUGUCAUCUUCCCUUCAGAGAACAAUGGAUUGAUUCUUUGACAGAAGAGCGAGAAGGAACGCCCUAAAAGACUCAGAAAAGACAGACAAAGUUAAGACACAGACCGUAAAACCAAAGGACCGGGAGAGGUAAUGAUAAAUAAGUUGCUGUGAGUAAAACUUGUAUCAUCAACUUACAAGGAAGAUGAAGGAUUCCUUCCCUAAGAACUUAUCAGGAUAAAUUAUACUGGAAAUCAAUCAGGAGUUAAAGAGAAACAUGUGAGUAAGCUUAAAAGGUGGCUUCAAAAGGCAGAAUCCAUCUAUACAGACAGGAUGUAUAAUGAUCUGUCGAAUGAUCACUGGAAUGAGUCAUACUCAAUGUUUGAGAAAAGGUCAUGUAAGUGUAAGCAAAUGAUCGUUCAGUUAACAUGGUUGUGCUUUCAGAGAUGAUCUUCUGCUCAUCACUGUUGUAAUGUGUGUAUAUUUGAGCUAUUUAUGUCCUUCUGUCAACAUGAACCAGUCUGGCUGUUCUCCUCGGACCUCCCUCAGUACUGCAUUGUCCCUCAUUGCCAAGGCAUUUUUACUCCAAGAACUGUUGCUCACUGGACUAUUUUUGUGUGCUUUGCACCAUUCUCUAUUAACUCUGGAGACUUGUGCAUGAAAAUCAUCAUUUAGUGUUAAAAUUGUGUUGUGUAGAGGUCAUAUUGUUAUACAACCUUUUGUAGUACCUUACAUUAUCUAAAAUAGGUCACUCACCACCGUCCUAACAACGGAAACUACACUGUGGCAGGCAGGAGGGCUCUAUAAUAGGUAGUCAAAACUGCCCAAUACAUCACUGGCCCCAGCCAACCUGCCAUCAAGGACACACAUAGAAAAAGGCACUGGAAAAAGGCCAGAAAUAUCAUGAAGGAACCCACCCACCACGCUCAUGGACAACAUACAUCAAAGUUGCUGGUGAACGCAGCAGGCCAAGCAGCAUCUAUAGGAAGAGGCGCAGUCGACGUCUCAGGCCGAGACCCUUCGUCAGGACUAACUGAAGGAAGAGUGAGU